GAGACUCAACGUUACUAUGUUACAGUCGGAUGACACGCUUGUUUUUUUGUUUUUUUUAGAGUAGGCUAUUUAAGAGAGGUUUAGAUUAAUGCCGUUUAUAUCACAAAGAGAGCGUCCUUCUCUUAGAGUUUGAUAAACAUGUUGAAAACGUACGACAGGAAAGCUGUGCUCUCCCUCGCUGGAGCGACCGUCACCUGUCUUGCGCUGCUGUUAUUUCUGUCGCAGCAUCAGCGGAUUCAGACGGACGGGAUGCAGAACGGGAGUGAAACCGGCUUGCGCUCGCUCCAGAGUCUGGGGGAAUCAGAGGCUGAUAAUGGAGCGCAGCCUGAGCAGAAUGGAAAGAAAGGAUUCUCUGCUUAUUUUUCAAAGCUGAGCCGCAGAAGGAGGGAUGCGGAAAAGCCCAGCGAGGCGUCCGGAGCGACGACAGACGCGCCGCCUGCUGAGGACAUCAGCGCUGAUGACAUCUUCAUCGCAGUGAAGACCACUAAGAAGUUUCACCGGUCCAGACUGGAUCUACUGCUGGACACCUGGGUAUCCAGAAACAUGCAGCAGACAUAUAUCUUCACGGAUGGCGAAGAUGGGGAACUGAAGAAGAAAAUCGGAAGCCAUGCUAUCAACACCAACUGCUCUGCUGCCCACAGUCGCCAGGCUCUGUCCUGCAAGAUGGCUGUUGAGUAUGACAAGUACAUAAAGUCUGGAAAAAAGUGGUUCUGUCAUGUGGAUGAUGACAACUAUGUGAACACAAAGACAUUGGUGAAGUUGCUGUCCAACUACCCUCACACUCAGGACAUGUACAUUGGUAAACCCAGUCUGGACAGGCCGAUUGAGGCCACAGAAAGACUUGGGGACAACAAGAUGAGACCUGUCAAUUUCUGGUUUGCUACGGGAGGUGCAGGCUUCUGUGUCAGCCGUGGGCUAGCUUUGAAGAUGAGCCCUUGGGCAAGUGGUGGCCAUUUCAUGAACACAGCUGAGAAGAUCCGUCUUCCUGAUGACUGUACCAUCGGCUACAUUAUCGAGUCAGUUCUUGGGGUCCCUUUGACCCGAAGCAGCUUGUUCCACUCACACUUGGAGAACCUGCAACAAGUGUCCAAAUCAGAAGUACACAAACAGAUUACAUUGAGUUAUGGAAUGUUUGAAAACAAGAGGAAUAUCAUCAACAUGAAAGGGGCUUUCUCUGUUGAGGAGGACCCAUCCAGGUUUAAGUCAGUGCACUGUCUGCUGUACCCAGACACUCCGUGGUGCCCUCCUCAGGUUACCAAUUAGGGUGACCGGCUCCUCUGUUGUAUCCUCGUCCCUCACUGCCUCAGUAUCUGACAGGCAUGAGGGACCAGUGUGGUAUUGGGCCGUGUAGCUGCUGCAUUUACUCUGCAGUGGCACAUGGUCUUCUGUGGUUAUACUGGGCUGCUGUGCGGCCCACCUUUAAACAGUUCCUUCCUGCCUGGUGCCUGAGCUUCCUGUCCAACUCAGACAUUAUGAAGGGCCUGGCUUUCAGAAGGAUGCUUUCAGCUCCAAGCUUCACAGGCAAUCAAUUGUGCUUUAUGUGAUUACUGUUGCUUGUAUCUCAUUUGCAAUUCUCAUAGAAUGUAACUGUCUAGUAUACCCAAGCCUUUUGCCAGCUUUAUAUUCUAAUUAGCAAUUUAGUGCAUACUUUAUAUUUUAUUCUCUCCAAAUUCUGUUCAGGAUGUUCUUUCCCUCAGGUUUGAUUUAGUGAUUGAAUUCUUUAAAAUAUUCGAAGGAAAUAAGUACAAUGGGUUCUUUAUUAUCUAGUUCUAAAGGACUCCGGACAAAAUUAAUGACAUGAAGGUCCUUUUAUAUUUUGCGAAUUGAUUUAUUUGAUGUCAGUGUUAUUAUAACUAUUAUUGCUAUUAUGACAUUUUAUGCUGGCAAUAGGCAAAUUUUCCAAAUAUGCUGUCAGGUUAUUUUAAUCUGUGGUGUAUGAGGAUUGAGCACUUUUCUUCCUAAAUCCUCUGGACAUUUUAUGGUGAUUGAACGGUUAUCUCUUAAAGCUGUGUGAAAAUGUAAGAAGUGCCCUAAUUUUUAGAUCUUUAUAUUAUUUAAUGCCAAUGCAUUCACACAAUCUUGGCAAAUAGAUAUGAUAUUUUUGGCAGGUUUUAUUACUGCGAUUAUAAUUUUUAAUUAUUUUUUAGCUUUGCUCAAAGACAUACUUAUGUGGGAGUUGCACAGCUUGGUUUUAAUUAACUGUUGCUUGCUCAAGUAAAGUAUCUCCUUGCAGUCACUUUAUGCCGUUUAGGUUUUGAAUUGGCACCACAAUGUACAUUGUUAAAACAGAUGGCAGCAAAAGUUUAAGAUGUGUUUAUAGCACAGAACUGAGUUCUCUGAUCCCUUUUGCACAGAGUGUUCUGGCUUAGAGCCAUUUCUUCAAAGCUGACAGUUGGACAUCACUAUUCCAACUAUACAAAACAUGUUAAGUGAGAGCUUUACAUGAGCAACAACAGUGAUCCUAACAGAGUUUCAGUUUCUCUAUUGGAAUGACCCAUAUUGGGUGAGCAUGUAUAUUUUAUUUUAAAGCAGUAUUUAUGUACUGUGCCAUUUUAAAACUAUUGUAUUUGUACAUAAUUGUUUAGAUAUAUGCAAUUUGGUCACCUAUGGAUCAGACCUAGUUCUGAUGAUUCCUCCAAAAUGUUUUUUUAAAUAGUCUGAAUUUCGCUAAUGGCUGUAAUUUAUAUUCCAGUAUCUGGAUUUGUUUGUUCAAAUGUUUUCCUCUCAGGGAUCGCAAUCCUGAUAAUGUUACCAUGGGCCGCCUUGGUAAUUCACCCUUCAGCUUUUGAAUAAAGCAGCAUAUUCGCUAAGAAA